CAAAAUAAUAACAACGAGAACAAUAUCAAAGAUACUCUAGAACAGCAUCGACAACAGCAGCAGGCAUUCUCGGAUAUGAGUCAUGUGGAGUAUUCAAGAAUUACA
rnacentral:other from 22 species